rnacentral:lncRNA from 1 species
CACCGAGAGUGCAUACCACAGGCACAAGCUCGUCACUAGUACAUAAUGCCUCUCGCAUGAAGAUGAGAAGUGCUAGAUGCUGCAAGCACAAAAUCGCCGUAGAAACACAACACCACUCAUGAGAGAUAACUUAUUAGACCAUCAGAAGGCCACCGAGAGUGCAUGCGAUAGGUAUAAGCUUGUCAUCGGUACAUAAUGCCUCUCGCACGAAGAUGAAAAAUGCUAGAUGCCGCAGGCACAAGAUUGCUAUGGACACACAAUGCCACUCAUGAGGGAUAACUUAUCAAACCCUCAGAAGGUUGCCGAGAGUGUAUGCCACAGGCACAAGAUCAUCGCAGACACACAACACCACUUGUAAGGGCUAACUUACCAGACCCUUGAGAAGAUCUCGACGACCCCAAGGUAGGGCUAACUUACAAGACCCCUACAAAGCCCGAGUCACUUGAAAAGAUGAGAAGUGCAAGAUGGCACAAGCAUAAGCUUACUACUGGCACACACUGCCUCUCGUGCGAAGAUGAGAAGUGCAUGAUACCCAGGUACAAGCUCGCCACUGGCACACACUGUCUCUCAUAUGAAGAUGUGAAGAGCUAGAUACCAUAGACAUGAGAUCACCACAGGCACACAAUGCCACUCAUAAGAGAUAACUAAUCGAACGCUAGAGGAAGAAUAAAAAAGACAACGUAUGGAUUGAGGCAUCAUGUCAAUAGUACUCUUUUCACCUGAUUCUCAGACUCAGGAGUAGGAGAUAUGUUAUGGUGGUAUCAUGGAUGCCUCAGACUUAUAGCUCUAUGAGCUAUGACUAUGCUAUGAAUGUUAGAAAAUCAGGUAGGCAGCAUAUGUAGAUUUUAAAACUUUGAAAAACUACAGCGAAAAACAAAUAGGUUAAACCCUUUAACCCCACAUGCAAU